rnacentral:lncRNA from 13 species
GAGGAUGAAAAGGCUUAUGUCCCAAGCUGGGCAGGAGGGGAAGGGACCUGCUUGGCUCUGGGGCUGGAGGUGACAAAGUUGGCAGACAGGGAGACUGAGGGCGUGGACAGUAGCAGCAGGUGCAGCAGCAUGGGCCCUCCCAGGCAUCAGGGCAGAUGAAGCACUUGGCUCCCAGGGGGUGCCCCAAGGGACCCCGUGGGCAUGGAUGGCUCUGAGUGGGGCACAGGAGAGAAGCUGGUCCGGGCUCAGGGGCAGCAGCACAGAGAGCCCACGCAGGAGCUGGGCUCCAGGCCCCCUCCCGCCGUGUGUCAGUGUAUGUGAAGUCACCGCUUCCUCACUGGGAGUCCUGAGACAGGACGGCAAGGGGGGUCAUUUAGGAGGUGAUCCGGGAAGGAGGUGAGUGGAAGGAAGUGCUGCCCCUUUCGGCUCCACUGUGGCCACCCCCUCGCUCCCCUCCCAGCCACCCUCUGUCAGGGCCUUUGCCCCCUGCUGUCUGAGUCUACUCUCUUGUCCCCUCCUCAGCGUGGACUGUUCCCUGCCCGCCCUUGGUGCCCUAGUCUCCCCCUUGCCACCUGCUCCUCCCCGCAGCUGUCUUCAUGAGGGUCUGAGAGCGCCUCUGUGGAAAUGCUGCGGGUUUGGUCCUUGCCUCUGCCACACUCUCACAGAGCUGGGCAUCUGCACCUUUGAGUGUGGGCUUGGCAGCUGGAAAUGCUCAGAAACCGUGUCUUCCCCCGCCCCCAUCCCAUGCGUGGACAGGGCUUGUCUGACCUGCUGGGGAAUGAUGCCACACUCAAGUGUCCAGGCAGGUGGCUUCUCUGCCCACAGGCCCAAUGGGAUGUGCAGCUGGGCCAUAGCUGGCCUGUCCCCCAGAACCUCCCACCCGGUCCAGAAGGGCUCCUGCACCACCCCUGGGGACAUCUGGACCUCAGCAUGGACUGUGCCUGCCUCAGCAUGGGUGCUGGGAGGUGAGGAUGACUUGGUCAGCCAGCCUGCCAGCCACUGUUACCCCAGAGUCUCUGAGAAGAAUGACACCCGCCACCUCCAGGGUGGCCUCCAUCAGCAGACUGAGUCUCACAGGCUGGAGUGCAGUGGUGCGAUCUCAGCUCACUGCAGCCUCUGCCUCAGCCUCUCAAGUGGCUGGAAUGACAGGCGCCCGUCACCACAUGCUCAGUUAAGUUUUUUGUAUUUUUUUAAGUAGAGUUGUGGUUUCACCAUAUUGGCCAGUUGGCCAGGCUGGUCUCAAACUCCUGACCUUGAGAUACACCUGCCUCGGCCUCCCAAAGUGCUGGGAUUACGGGCGUGAGCCACUGCGCCCGGCCCUAGGAACUUCUUACUUUCUACACAGGAGCCUCAAGCGCCUCGGCCUGCAGAGCCACUGGUGUGAGCUUCUCCAGGGAUGCCACAGCCCAGGGGGUGGGUGCCCCUUCCCACCUCCAUCUGACCCAGCUGUGUGUCUGGCCUCAUGUUAGGGCUGGGGAGGUGUUACAGGUGGAGGAGCUGGCAGACACCUGCAAGACAGGGCCUGGGGGUGGGAGGGAGGCCAGAUGACUUUCUGAGCCCAUGGGUCCAAGCCUGUAUAGGGAGGGAGCGUCGUGUGCCCCAGGGCCAGCUGCAGCCUCCCCAGAGACCCUCUGUGAACCCGGGCUCUCCCCAUGGGGCUGGGUGCUGUGGUCCCGUGAACCCGGGCUCUCCCCGUGGGGCUGGGCGCUGUGGUCCCGUGAACCCGGGCUCUCCCCAUGGGGCUCGUGCUGUGGUCCCGUGAACCUGGGCUCUCCCCUUGGGGCUGGGCGCUGUGGUCCCGUGAACCCAUGCUCUCCCUUUGGGGCUGGGCGCUGUGGUCCCGUGAACCCGUGCUCUCCCCUUGGGGCUGGGCGCUGUGGUCCCGUGAACCCG